AUGUUCUUCACAAUAAAAUAUUUUUUAAAAAAAUUUUAACACAAAAGGGUAAAGGAUGCCUCCAUAAAACCCAGACAAGAGCCUUAAAUUCCUCUUUGGAUCCUGUCUGGAGUCACAACU
ensembl:snoRNA